CCUGAUCAAUGUUUAGAGUUUAUUAUACAUAUGCUUUUGGAUGUAACACCCAUAAAAGGGAGUUUGCCAAAAAGUUAUUAUGAUGCCAAACGAUUAAUAGCAAAACUAGAAUUGGAAGCUAAGAGGAUGAUUGUUGUGUGGUAGUCUUCAUAUAACGUAAGGUGGCAUAGAGACUUGAGGAUGAGGAACAGAUAAAGUAAUUUUUUUACUCAAAGGCCUCUCAUAAAUUGUUUGAUAUGUUUAGUGAAGCUCGAAAAAUAGGUAAAAGGCCAUUCUAGGCUAGACAAGAUGUGUGGAACCAACUGGUAGCACAUUGGAAUUCAACUGCUUUUCGAUCAAAGUCUACACAAGCCUCACUAAAUCAAGCAUCUAAAAAGGGCGGGACUCUUCAUACAGGUGGCUCAAUUACAAUUCAUGAUCAUGCCAAACGCAUGGCAAGAGAAUUUGGUUGCUCAGUACAUAUUGAUGAGGUCUUUCAAUAGACCCACAUACGAAAAGAAACUAGAGAGUUUGUUGAUGAAAGAUCUAAGAAAACAUAUCUAUGUUUGAGGCUGCAUCAUCUGUUCAUGAAUCACAUCCUAUGGAGCCUAGUUUGGAGGAUACAAUUAAGUCUAAAUGUUGGUCUGAUGUAGUUGGUGGCAUGACCACUAAGGGGCGAUUGUAGGGAGCUGGAGACCUUGCUUGUGAUUUUAAAGAUACACAGAGCAGUCGUCUCAAGCUUAAAAGGAAAGUAUAUUAUAGUAAUUCACAUGACAUUGAAGAUAUUGUUCAAUUGAAACAAUGACUUGUAGAAAAUGAUAUGCUUAUUCAUUAGUUACAACAGUUUCAAUCAAUUGUUAUGCAGUUCUUACCCACAGAAGCACAAAUUGCCAUUCAAAAUAUUAGUCAACAAAAUGUCAACCUAGAUCAACAAAAUGGGGAACAACAACAACAACAACAACAAUAAGAUGACUAAGGAAAAAAUCAAGAAGACUCUCCUAAUUAUGAUGAUUAUUAGUUAGCAUUAGAAAAAUAUGAAUCUAUUUGAAUUAACUAUAUAUGAAUUGUUUAAUAUAUGUUAG